rnacentral:snoRNA from 1 species
CUGCAGCUAAUUAAGCCAACCAGCCCCCUCUCCCCAGUGUGCAGUGGCUACAGACAGCAUCCUCCUUGGUAGUGUAGCAGCCUAUUGCUUGUAUGGGUUGCCCAAAAGGACCUUGGAGACAGUC